AUUGAACGCUGGCGGCAUGCCUUACACAUGCAAGUCGAACGGCAGCACGGGAGCUUGCUCCUGGUGGCGAGUGGCGAACGGGUGAGUAAUGCAUCGGAACGUGCCCUGAAGUGGGGGAUAACGUAGCGAAAGUUACGCUAAUACCGCAUAUUCUGUGAGCAGGAAAGCAGGGGAUCUUCGGACCUUGCGCUUUUGGAGCGGCCGAUGUCGGAUUAGCUAGUUGGUGGGUAAAGGCCCACCAAGGCGACGAUCCGUAGCGGGUCUGAGAGGAUGAUCCGCCACACUGGAACUGAGACACGGUCCAGACUCCUACGGGAGGCAGCAGUGGGGAAUUUUGGACAAUGGGCGCAAGCCUGAUCCAGCCAUGCCGCGUGAGUGAAGAAGGGCCUUC
rnacentral:rRNA from 1 species